UUCUCCAGAAGAUCUAUUUUCCUAUCCUCUUGCCUUGGAUCUCCUUCUGGACUUGCUGAACCGCGUUAUAAAAAUCGGAACAGUAUAGAACCGGAACCUGAGCCGGAUCUGGUGAAAAAGAAACCUUCACGGAAGGUUAAAGGUGAAGUGGCACCUCAUUACGGAAUGUCACUGCCAUGCAUGUCUUCCGGUACCGGUAGCAGUUCCAAAAUUGAUACCGACGCCGCGGCGGCUGCCGCAGCAGCGCAUCACUCUCCUUCUCGUUGCCUCUCUGGCUUUAGCUUCCUUCCGGGUAACGUUAGUUUUAGAUUAAGCAGAGCCAAUAGUUUGGGGUCGUCUAGGGCAUAUUCUACGAGCCUUGCGAUAUUGAACCGCGAUGACAACUCCGAUACAUUUGAAGAACAUCCACACAUCUUCCCCAAAAUUCUUCUUCUUCUUCUUCUAUAAACUUAUAUUCUUCCGUAAUCUUCAAUGAUGGGGGCACAGAUAGGGAUAGGGAUAGACGUGUUGGAGUUGGAAGUCGAGAACCUGUUGAAAGGAAUGUGCAUUUUAGCAGAACUUUGAGUGUUGGAAGGCUUCGUGACCGUGUUCUUCGUAGAGCUUCUAUAUCUGAUUUCACGUUAUGCCCUUUACAGCAAAACAGCAACCAGACUCACGCAUUUGCAGCAGACGGAGAGUCGUGACAAUCAGCUACCUCUCCUUCCAGUUCCACAUCCACAUCCACUGCCCCCGUCAUUCCAAACCGUCCCGUUUUUAACAUUCAGGAUCAUGAAGUUGAAACCUUCCGGUCUAGAGAAGCCAGAUAUCAUGAUCUACUCGAGCACAGAUCCAAUUUCCUUGAAAGAAGGAGAAGAAUACGAUCUCAGGUUCGAGCUCUUCAACGGCUAGGAAGCCGUUUUGAAAACUUUUCUGGACAUGAAAGGUUUUGUAUAUUAUCUGGUCAACAUAGAACUGGUCGAUGCACUUGUCGUAUAAAUAAUCGAGAUUCCAAUUCAAAUGAUCAGACAAGUGUUAGGGCUAGUAUAUCCAGAAUCGUUAUGUUAGCUGAAGCUUUAUUGAGGUUCUGGAUGAAAUUCACCAGCAGUCCGUGGUUUUAUCUUCUCGAGCUUCUCUAUCUUCAAUUGGAUCUGUUCCUGCACCUAAUGAAGUUGUGGAAUCGCUUCCUGUCAAAGCAUACAACAUGUCACACAAACUUACAAUGAAGAGGCUGCACAAUGUUACAUAUGCCUUGUGGAGUAUGAGGAGGCGGAUAGCAUGCGGGUAUUGCCUUGUAAUCACGAAUUCCACAGAACUUGUAUAAACAAGUGGCUCAAGGAGAUUCAUAGGUUCUUAAAAAUGACUCAAGAUGUGGAGAUGAAAGAACAACCAGCUCCUUCCAAUUCCGUUACUUCCUCUUCUCCAUCCACUUUGCACCAUUUGAAGGAAAUUACGUUUUAGACUAGCCAAUCAGGAUGUUUCAAUCCUGGAGCCAUCUAAGGCUAGUUUUUUCCCGACAAUGACCAAGAUAGUGGGAACUUUAGGUCCAAGGUCUCGAUCUGUUGAUGUUAUUUCUGGUUGUCUUAAAGCUGGAAUGUUUGAAGCAAGGAGACAAGUCGUGGAGGCAACGGAGAGAUUAGGUGGUCAAUACAGUACUAGUUUACAUCCUCAAUGCACCCAUUUGGUGGUCCAUAUAUCAUUUCUCGUAUUGUUUGGUUUUAAAUCACUUAGAUUUUAGCUUAAUGUGAGACUUGGCUGGCUUGGGAUAAAGAGAAUGCAAAUGGAUAUUAUGUGUACUGUGAUGAUAAUAAGGUUUCCUAUUGUCUUGUCUUUGUAUUGUCUCUGCUGCUGCAAGUGCAACUGUUAUGAUGAGCCUUAAUAUUAGUUACAGCGUUAGUGGACGCCCCAGCAAAAUAACGAAUGCGGUGGACACCAGAACUUCAUGAAGCCUUUGUUGAAGCUGUCAACCAAUUGGGAGACAGUGAAAGGCGUGUUGAAGCUUAUGAAAGUUGAAGGCUUGACAAUUUAUCAUGUUAAAAGUCAUUUGCAGAAAUACAGAACAACUAGAUACAGACCAGAGCCAUCCAAAGCAAUUGGUUCAAAUAAGGAGUGGAAACCAAAGGUGAUCAGUUCUAAUUUUGGGAAGGGUUCGGGAACAGCUGGUGCAUCUGAUGUUCCUACUAGUUUAGUUGAAGCCAAUGCUCAUUCACAGCCUGUUUCAAGAGUUCUCGAUUCUGAAGAAGCAACUUCAAAAUUGCAGAAGAAGCUAGAGGAGUUGCAUCUCCCGCAACGUCGACAUGUUUGAUAUUCGCAAAGAAUGGGUAUCUUAUGUGGAAAACUUUAUU